UCUGGCGUUUGUGCUCGCGUAUCGGUAUGCCAAAAGCAUAAACAAUUAUACCUCAACGUAUUAUACCGAACUAUCGUAUUUACCCACUGCGGGACGAUACAAUCGUAUAUGUGUCAUACAAAAAAAUAAGCAGUUCGAAACUGAUCGUGCGAAAUUGUUAUUUUAAUAAUACGUAUUUUUGCCGGUAACUAUUUCAUGUUCAUAAUAUUAUUAAGUAUAAUUCACGCGCGAAUACAAAUACUUAAUACAAAAAGUAACAAUUGUAUUAAAAACGGAAUCCCGAAUGACGGGAAUGGGGGAAGACCGGGCGAUUCGCCCUCUCCGCGAAGAAUUCAUCGACAAACGGUAGUUGAUUUACGCACGUAAAACCGGGACUGUCGAAACGUUGGUUUAAACACUUUUUUGAAAAAAAAAUUACCUAUGACCGUCCCUUUCGCCCCCCCCCCUAACCAAAUUGAAAAAUGUCUGCGGACCCCCGUGGCCGUGAUGCGAACGCGUGAUGUUAUUAAACGU